GAGUUUGAUCAUGGCUCAGAACGUACGCUGGCGGCACGCCUAAUACAUGCAAGUCGAACGGAGUAGCAAUACUUAGUGGCAGACGGGUGAGUAACAUGUGGGUAUCUUCCCUUUGGUGAGGAAUAACACGAGGAAACUUGUGCUAAUACCGGAUAAGUCUUUACGGAGAAAGCUUUAUGCACCAUUGGAUGAGCCUGCACUUGAUUAGUUUGUUGGUAGGGUAAUGGCCUACCAAGACUUUGAUCAAUAGCUGAUUUGAGAGGAUGAUCAGC
rnacentral:rRNA from 1 species